UGGCGGCGUGCUUAAUACAUGCAAGUGAGCGGAGCUAAUAGUGAGUUACUUAUAUUAGUCGGGCAGCGGACGGGUGAGUAACGCGUGGGCAAUCCUGCCCUCUAGUUUGGGAUAACAGUUCGAAAGGACUGCUAACACCGAAUAAUCUUAAAUUUGGGCAUCUAAAUUUAAGGAAAGUUAACGCUAGAGGAUGAGCCCGCGUCCCAUUAGCUAGUUGGUGAGGUAACGGCCCACCCAAGGCAACGAUGGGUAGCCGACCUGAGAGGGUGACCGGCCACACUGGGACUGAGACACGGCCCAGACUCCUACGGGAGGCAGCAGUAGGGAAUUUUCCGCAAUUGGACGAAAGUCUGACGGAGCAACGCCGCGUGAGGGAUGAAGGUUUUCGGAUCGUAAACCUCUGCCCUUGGGGAAGAUAAUGACGGUACCCAAGGAGGAAGCCACGGCUAACUACGUGCCAGCCGCCGC
rnacentral:rRNA from 1 species